rnacentral:rRNA from 1 species
AUUGAACGCUGGCGGCAGGCCUAACACAUGCAAGUCGAGCGGCAGCGCGGGGCAACCUGGCGGCGAGCGGCGAACGGGUGAGUAAUACAUGGGAAUCUGCCUGGUAGUGGGGGAUAACUCUGGGAAACUAGAGGUAAUACCGCAUACGUCCUACGGGAGAAAGCGGGGGAUCUUCGGACCUCGCGCUAUCAGAGGAGCCCAUGUCCGAUUAGCUAGUUGGUGAGGUAAAGGCUCACCAAGGCGACGAUCGGUAACUGGUCUGAGAGGAUGGUCAGUCACACUGGAACUGAGACACGGUCCAGACUCCUACGGGAGGCAGCAGUGGGGAAUAUUGGACAAUGGGGGCAACCCUGAUCCAGCCAUGCCGCGUGUGUGAAGAAGGCCUUCGGGUUGUAAAGGUCACUUUAAGUUGGGGAGGAAGGCUCGCUGAUUAAUAAUACAGCGGAGUGACGUUACCGACAGAAUAAGCACCGGCGAAACUACCGUGCC